rnacentral:misc_RNA from 1 species
CUUGAGGGCAUUGACACGAGUAAUAUUGUGUCAAGUUCACGCAGAAGGUCCACAAUAAGUUAUGUACCUCCUCCAAAGCCCAAAAUACCGGUUGAAAGUGAUAGCGAUGAUACUGAUGAGGAUGAGGAUGAUGAUGAUGACGAUGAUGAUGCAGAAGAUGAAAAUGAUGAGGAUGAUGGAUGUAAUGAUGGGGAUGAUGACAGCCAAAGCGACGAGGGGCAUGUGGAGGACAGUGAUUGAAUUGAAUCCUGGAUAAGCUGACUCACAGGUCGAUUGAUGGUAGAUAUCUUAGCGGUUGGAGUUUGUGGGUGUAUCAUCUGUUCUGAACAUGUUUAGUUCAAUUUUUUCUACCGUCUUGGGUGUAGGAACAUGGAAUUUGUUUGCAGCUUCUUUUGUUAGUAUAUCAUCUAUAGCUGAUUUGUAACUUAUACAAGGGGUAUCUUUCCCUGAAAAAAUUAGCUUCAAAUAUAAACCA